GUUUAGGGGUAAACCUGAGAAACCCGAAAGGUCGAAGGAAGAAAUUCAUUCGUGUUUCGUCAUUGACAAGAUUGUGUAUAUUUGACAAUAAAUAAGUUUGGUCAUCUAUAUGGUGAUUUUUAAUUUAUAUGUUGCUAUAUAUCUAUUUUGGAUCUGAUGAUGAACGCGUGCAUUUUUCUUCUGGUAGGACGUUGCGAUCCGUUAGGCUAUAUAAUUAUCGAUCUAUGAUGUUUUUGGGGUAUAGUUCAUUGAUACAUGAUAUAAUUAUUUAUUUUUAUAUAUGAUAAUAUUAAUGAAGCCUAAUUAUCUGAUCGAUUUACCUGACKGUAAAAUAAUGGUUAAAAGUCGCAAUAAUUUUUUUCUUUUUGCGUUAGAGGCUAAACAAGUGUAUGAAAUGUGUAAAGACAUUAUCWUUAUCCAUAUUGGUGGUGGUGGUGUUCUCGGUAAUCGGUAUUUAUAUCAAUUSCGGGCCGUUUGUAUACUGUUAGUUUGGCAUAUCUCUAACGGAUUUUAUUAUUUUUUAAUAAAACCAAUCANCAACGCKAUASCUUUGGGUACUUUCAGGACCCGUCUUGAAACACGGACCAAGGAGUCUAGCAUGUUCGCAAGCCAYUGGGAUAUUAAAACCUAUAGGCAUAAUGAAAGUAAAAAUCAUUUUAUCUUGUAUGAAAUGAAGGGAAGAUAAAUAAUAAUUUCGUAUUUAAUYGUAUGAUAAAUUAUUUCGCAUUCCCGGGGCGUUUAAAUUUCAUUUUUUUGUUUACAAUUAAAUGAGAUUAUGCGCACCAAGAGUGUACACGCUGGGACCCGAAAGAUGGUGAACUAU
rnacentral:rRNA from 1 species